rnacentral:pre_miRNA from 13 species
GUAGGACGACCAUUCAGGUUUGAGGCAUGAACCUGGCAUACAAUGUAGAAUUCUGUAUUUGUUAAGCAACAGCUACAUUGUCUGCUGGGUUUCAAGCUACCUGGAAAUGUACACUCAGUGACU